rnacentral:tRNA from 1 species
GGGGCCGUAGUUCAGCCUGGUUAGAAUGCUAAAAGCAUGACCAGAAUGCGCGGCUUGGGACCGCGAGGUCCCAGGUUCAAAUCCUGGCGGCCCCA